GACGAACGCUGGCGGCGUGCUUAACACAUGCAAGUCGAACGGAAAGGCCCUGCUUUUGUGGGGUGCUCGAGUGGCGAACGGGUGAGUAACACGUGAGUAACCUGCCCUUGACUUUGGGAUAACUUCAGGAAACUGGGGCUAAUACCGGAUAGGAGCUCCUGCUGCAUGGUGGGGGUUGGAAAGUUUCGGCGGUUGGGGAUGGACUCGCGGCUUAUCAGCUUGUUGGUGGGGUAGUGGCUUACCAAGGGUUUGACGGGUAGCCGGCCUGAGAGGGUGACCGGCGACAUGGGGACUGAGGUACGGCCCAGACUCCUACGGGAGGCAGCAGUGGGGAAUAUUGCACAAUGGGCGGAAGCCUGAUGCAGCAACGCCGCGUGCGGGAUGACGGCCUUCGGGUUGUAAACCGCUGUCGCCUGUGACGAAGCGUGAGUGACGGUAAUGGGUAAAGAAGCACCGGCUAACUACGUG
rnacentral:rRNA from 1 species